rnacentral:misc_RNA from 1 species
AACGCACAUUGCGCCCACCAGUACUCUGGUGGGCAUGCCUGUCCGAGCGUCAUUUCGACCCUCGAGCCCUCCCUCUUUUGCGGUGGCUCGGUGCUGGGACGCUACAGCGCGCUUUGCGCUGUAGGUUUCGAAAUGCAGUGGCGGCCUCGUCGAGACCCCGAGCGCAGUAAACCGUGCCUUAGCACAGCGCCUCGUUCAGGGUGUCCGGCGGGUGCCUUAGCCGUUAAACCCCCAAUUUAUAAAAGGUUGACCUCGGAUCAGGUAGGAAUACCCGCUGAACUUAA